rfam:Oryza nivara chromosome 4, whole genome shotgun sequence.
UUCAAGUGCAACCAUAAGUUUUUCGCCUAAUUUUAAUUGUCCGUCUUAUUUAAAAAAUUUUAUAAUUAGUAUUUUUGUUAUUAUGAGAUGAUAAAAUAUAAAUAGUAUUUUACUCGUGAUUAUGUUUUUAAUUUUUUUUAAAUAAGGCAGACAGUUAAAGUUUGACGUGAAAAACCAUGGCUGCAAUGGGU